GGGUCGGUGGAGUGAGUCAGGUUUAGCCAACGGAUUGCAAAUCCGUUUUACGUGGGUUCAAAUCCCACCCGAUCUUCCA
rnacentral:tRNA from 1 species